rnacentral:rRNA from 1 species
UUAACGCUACUAGACGGAUAGCUUGGUUUGAAUCGCGAUAAAGGACGUGGCAAGCUGCGAUAAGCUCGGAUUAGGCGCAGGCAGCCUUUGAACCCGAGAUUUCCGAAUGCGAUAACGUUCUCAUAAGAGAAUGCCGAGAGGCAAGCAGACGCCGGGAAUUGAAACAUCUUAGUACCGGUAGGAAAAGAAAACAAUUGUGAUUCCCUAAUUAGCAGCGAGCGAAAGGGGAACAGGGCAAACCGAAUCUCCGUUUGAAAAGACGGCAGAGAUGUGGUGGAGAUAUGUGGCUAAAGUAUCGAGCUGAAGUUCUCUGGAACGAGGCACUUUAGAGGGUGAUAGUCCCGUAAGUGGAGAUACCAUGUCGCACUCCGACAGAGUAGGGCCCCCUAGAUAGGAGGUCCGAAUAUGGCUGGAUUAACAGCCAACCCUAAAUAUUGAUUCAAGUCCGAUAGCGAACUUAGUACCGCGAGGGAAAGCUGAAAAGUACUCUUAGUCGAGGGUUAAAAGACUUGAAAUCUAGUAGCCACAGCUGGUUACUGCUCGUAAAAGAGUUGUAACGUGCGUUUCGAAAAACGGGCCACGGAGUUAUUUUAUGUGGCGAGGUUAAUUUUAGAAGCCAAAGCGAAAGCGAGUCCUAAAGGGCGAUAGUCACGUGAAACAGACCCGAAGCCGGAUGAUCUACUUGUGAGCAGGAUGAAGUUCUCCGAAAGGAGAAUGGAGGUCCGAACUAGUGUUGUAUGCAUGCACUUGGAUGACUUGUGAGUAGGGGUGAAAAGCCUAUCUAAUUCGGCGAUGGCUGGUUCCUGUCGAAAUAUGCCUCAGUAUAGUCUUGCCUAGUUUGUUAACGGGGUAUAGUACGGAUUAAGUUUGCAGAGCCCACCGGCUACGGAACUAAUUCCAACUCAGAACCUGUUUUCGACUUACGGCAGGAAUCGGGGGCAGUGCGUAAGGUACUGUUCCGAGACCCGAACAAGGGAGACUGGAGUUAAGGUCCCAAAAUGUAUGCUCAGUGUAACAAACCUGGUCUUUAACCCGAGACAGUAGGGAUGUAGGCUUAGAAGCAGCCAUCAUUUAAAGAAAGCGUAACAGCUCACCUAUCGAGGUUAGAGGCGGGGAAAAUGGACAGGGCUAAGCAUACUACCGACACUUCAGAGGCGCUCGUAAGAGCGUUCUGGUAGACAGGCGUGUGUUCUGCGUAGAAGUUUUUUCGAGAGAAAGAAUCGAGCGGGACGCAAUGAGAAUCGUGGUGUUAGUAAGAUCAAAUUAUCCUGAGAACGGAUAGCGUCGAAAGAGCAAGGUUUCCUUGGCACUAUCGUUUAACCAAGGGUUAGUCGGCGCCUAAGCCAUAUCUUAACUGCGUAUGGCGAAUGGACAUCCGGUUAAUAUUCCGGAACUUGUUGUUUUCGUUUAGUGCACAUUUUUACUUAGGGAUAAGUAGCAUCUCGAGAGAGAUGUAGCGUGCGAAUGCUGUGGAGCGUAAUGCUAAGAUACAGCAGAAUCACGCUGGGCGACCUAUUGAAUCCUAGAGUCCAUGAAAAGUUUGUGUAUAGAAAGCAAUAAGCCGUACCAAGAAUCGGCACUGAUGCUCUAGCUGAGAAGGCUAAGACGUGAAAGGAAAAAUUGGUUAAGGGAACUCGGCAUAUUGGCCCCGUAUCUUCGGUAGAAGGGGUGUCUAUGGCUGUCUUUGAAUUAUCAGGGGCAGUUGUAGAUCGCAGUAACAAGGAUCGCCCGACUGUUUAUCAAAAACGUAGCCGGUUGCAAAUCUGAAAAGACUAGUAUAACCGGUGAGACCUGCCCAGUCGCGGUGUUUCAAACUCUGUUCCAACGGAGCUAAGACCCGUGAAACGGCGGGAGUAUCUAUGACUCUUAGCUUAAAGGGAGUCAAUAAACUUGGCUAUAUGCUGGAACCCCUAAUGAUUUUAAGAUAAUCAUUAAGUUAUAAUAUACGAAAUUUAUUUUCGUGAAAAUUAUUAUAGCAUAAGGGCAAUCAGCAGGAAACCAAAGAUUUAUUUACUUGACCUCUAUUAAAGGUCAUGAAUAAAGAACAGUUUAUAAGUUAUCUAUUAGGUUUUGUCGAUGGAGAAGGAUGUUUUUGCAUUUCAAUAAAGAACCAAAAAUCUGCAAAGAUGCAUUGGGUUCUUGAUCCCGUAUUUCAUAUAACUCAACACGAAAGAAGUAAAGAAAUAUUAUAUAAUUUCAAAAAAUUUCUUGGUUGUGGAGAAGUUAUUAAAAAAUAUGGACAAGAAGAUACUCUUUUACUUUUAGUACAUCGUAGAAGAGAUUUAGUAGACAAAAUAGUUCCUUUUUUCAGAAAAAAUAAAUUACUAUUAAAAAGAAAAACUUUUGAAUUAUUUGCAGAAGUUGUUGAAUCUUUAGAUCAGCAUGCCCAUGCAAAUGUAAAAGAUUUCAGAAAAUUAGUAAAGAAAGUUUUUCUAAUGAAUGGAGAAGGGAGAUAUAGAAAAUAUAAAUUAGAAGAUAUUCUAAAAUCUUUGGGAUCCUCAGAGACUAUACGCCAAGCAUCUAAAUAAGAUGAAGAUAUAGUCCGAUCUUUAUGGAAAACAUAAAGAGAUUAGUAGAAAUACUAAUUCGCCAUAAUUCAUAUUAUGGUUAGUAGCACUUUUUUUAGUGUGAAAGUAACAAAAUGCUUAAGGUAGCGUAAUGCCUUGUCGUCUGAAUGGCGACGUGCAUGAAUGGUUUAAUGUGGUGGUCACUGUCCCUAACCAAGACCUUCUGAACUUACUGAUCGGUGAAAAUGCCGAUGACGCCUAGUGGGAAGCGGAGACCUUGUGAACCUUUACUGCAACUUGUUGUUGUAGCUUUAAGGG